CUGAAACAAAUUUAUACGGGACAUAAAUCUCCUUAGGGGUCAAUUGCAAGUGAUGUGAAAAUUUCAUGCAAUGAGUUAUUGAAACAAGACCUGGACAAACUUUUGCUGAUGAGCUUUCCAUCCUACAAUCAACGGCAUAUUUAGCAUAGUUUAGGUAGCCAAGCAAUCUGGCAAGUUAUAUGACACCACGAAACCUGGAAGUACAACAAAUAAUAUAAAUGUCAAACAAGGAAUUUAAAUAAAAGUCUUUCAUUUCUACAGCUCAAGAAAAGAAAAAAAUAUAUUCCCAUUUCCUACAGUGUUAAACUUUCUUUCUGACAUUUCAUCGAACACCUGUUGUGCGUUCGUAGCCUUGAGCUCUAUCUUUGGCGCUUCUUUUAAUCAGUUGUCGCUUAUGGUUUUCUUAACAAAGCAGGUAGUUUUGCUUACAUGGCUUUGCUAUUUUGCGCAUGUCCAAUGUCAAAAUUUUAUUAUGAACAAUGCUCCUUGAAAAGGUUAAGUGUGUGUAUUCAAAGUAGUGAAUUUCUUCUCUAGUUUGCCUAUUUAUAUUGAACUGGAAGUUUGGAGUUGAUAUAAUUCCACAUCCGAUUAGUCAAAAGUUGUGCAGUUGGCCUGUUAUAUUUGAUUGAAU
rnacentral:lncRNA from 1 species